UACGUAGGGGCCGAGCGUUGUCCGGAGUUACUGGGCGUAAAGCGCGCGCAGGCGGCUCGCUUUGCCCGGCGUGAAAGCCCCCGGCUCAACCGGGGAGGGUCGUCGGGGACGGGCGAGCUUGAGGCCGGCAGGGGCAGGUGGAAUUCCCGGUGUAGUGGUGAAAUGCGUAGAUAUCGGGAGGAACACCAGUGGCGAAGGCGACUACCUGGCCUGUUCUUGACGCUGAGGCGCGAAAGCUAGGGGAGCAAACGGG
rnacentral:rRNA from 1 species